CCUACGGGAGGCAGCAGUGAGGAAUAUUGGUCAAUGGGCGGGAGCCUGAACCAGCCAAGUCGCGUGAGGGAAGACGGUCCUAUGGAUUGUAAACCUCUUUAGGCGGGGAGCAAUGCCGGGCACGUGUGCCCGGAGGGAGAGUACCCGCAGAAUAAGCAUCGGCUAACUCCGUGCCAGCAGCCGCGGUAAUACGGAGGAUGCGAGCGUUAUCCGGAUUUAGUGGGGUUAAAGGGUGCGUAGGCGGAUUUUUAAGUCAGCGGUAAAAUGUCCGGGCUCAACCCGGGCCGGCCGUUGAAACUGGGGAUCUUGAGUGGGCGAGAAGUAUGCGGAAUGCGUGGUGUAGCGGUGAAAUGCAUAGAUAUCACGCAGAACUCCGAUUGCGAAGGCAGCAUACCGGCGCCCGACUGACGCUGAGGCACGAAAGCGUGGGGAUCGAACAGGAUUAGAUACCCUAGUAGUC
rnacentral:rRNA from 1 species